rnacentral:tRNA from 1 species
UCGGGCCGCCCGCCGGCCUCCCACGGGGAGCUCGUGCGCGCCCUCGCCCAGGCGCGCGUGCUUGC